UACGUAGGGUGCAGGCGUUAAUCGGAAUUACUGGGCGUAAAGGGCGCGUAGGCGGCCUGCUAAGUCGAACGUGAAAUCCCUGGGCUCAACCCAGGAACUGCGUCCGAUACUGGUUGGCUUGAAUCCGGGAGAGGGAUGUGGAAUUCCAGGUGUAGCGGUGAAAUGCGUAGAUAUCUGGAGGAACACCGGUGGCGAAGGCGACAUCCUGGACCGGUAUUGACGCUGAGGCGCGAAAGCCAGGGGAGCAAACGGG
rnacentral:rRNA from 1 species